UAAUAAGGGGAGGAAAAGAAACUAACAAGGAUUCCCUUAGUAGCGGCGAGCGAACAGGGAAGAGCCCAGCGCUGAAUCCUCCGUGCCUUGUGUGCGGUUGGAAAUGUAGCGUUAAGGAAGGUCCGUUUGCCUGAGUUUUCUUGCUCACACAAGUGCAACUUGAAUGGGGCACCGGCGAGGGUGAAAGUCCCGUCGUGUGUUGAGAAGACUCGGGUGGACCUUCCUCAGAGUCGGUUUGCUUGAGAGUGCAGACCAAAGUGGGUGGUAAACUCCAUCUAAGGCUAAAUAUAACCACGAGACCGAUAGCACACAAGUACCGUGAGGGAAAGGUGAAAAGAACUUUGAAGAGAGAGUUCAAGAGUACGUGAAACUGCUCAGGUGAAAACGGUGGAGAACGGAAUGUCCGAAAGCUUGGGAUUCAGGUCUAUCUCGGCCGGACGGCGUUGCAGGAGAUGUUUGCAGGAGGCCUGGGAUACUGGGUCGGUCUGUAGCACUCCGUGUAGCGUUGACUCUCGGUCGGGUGGUCUGCAUUUCCCCGGGCUAGUAGGAGGUCGCGACCCGUUGGGGUUCGCCGGUAAUGGCUUGCGGUGGUAGACCGUGGCGGGUGUGGGCCCUCGUGCUCGCGCGUCGUCCACGGACACUGUGAUCGACCGUACCGGUACCCGACGGUCUCAAAGAUGGGUAAAGGACCGCGCUCUGCGUCGCGUGCUACACACUGUGUUUGCACAGGUCCUUGUCCCCUGUCUGCGGCUCUGUUGCUUCCGGCACCUCGACCGACCCGUCUUGAAACACGGACCAAGGAGUCUAACAUGUGCGCAAGUCAUUGGGUGUAAAAACCUAAAGGCGAAAUGAAAGUAAAGGGCAAGCACUUGUGCUAGACCUUUCGGGUGAUGGGUAGUCCUGCGUGGCUACCUCGCAACCCGGGGGCGUCCCGAUCUCUCCGAGAUAGGGCGCACCUUGAGCGUACAUGUUGGUACCCGAAAGAUGGUGAACUAUGCCUGGCCAGGACGAAGCCAGAGGAAACUCUGGUGGAGGUCCGUAACGCUUCUGACGUGCAAAUCGAUCGUUGGAGCUGGGUAUAGGGGCGAAAGACUAAUCGAACCAUCUAGUAGCUGGUUCCCUCCGAAGUUUCCCUCAGGAUAGCUGGCGCACGAGGGAGAUUUGGGUCAGAGUCCCAUCCGGUAAAGCGAAUGAUUAGAGGCCUUGGGGGCGAAACGCCCUCAACCUAUUCUCAAACUUUAAAUGGGUGCGAUCCCCGGCUUACUUAACUGAAGCCGGGGCCCAAGGAUCUAUGUGUGCCAAGUGGGCCAAUUUUGGUAAGCAGAACUGGCGCUGUGGGAUGAACCAAACGCGGUGUUAAGGCGCCUAAAAGAACGCUCAUGGGACACCAUGAAAGGUGUUGGUUUCUUAAGACAGCAGGACGGUGGCCAUGGAAGUCGGAAUCCGCUAAGAAGUGUGUAACAACUUACCUGCCGAAGAAACUAGCCCUGAAAAUGGAUGGCGCUGAAGCGUUCUGCCUAUACACCGCCGCCGGGGCAGAAGCGUCCGCGCCGCAAGGUGCGGGCAUGAAGCCCCGGUGAGUAGGAGGGUCGCUACGGUGAGCGCUGAAGCGAUGGACGUGGGUCCGCGUGGAGCCGCCGUAGGUGCAGAUCUUGGUGGUAGUAGCAAAUACUCGAUUGAGAACCUGGAGGACUGACGUGGAGAAGGGUUCCGUGUGAACAGCCGUUGCACACGGGUCAGUCGAUCCUAAGCCCUAGGGGAAACCCGACAAAAAUGUGCUGUGUCUUAUUCUCGCCUUCGAGUUGACCGCCAUUGGGCGAAAGGGAAUACGGUUCCUAUUCCGUAACCCAGAUCCGGAACCGUCUUCGGUCACUCGUUGAUCGUCAGGGUAACCUGUCUUGCCCCGGAGAAGCCUUUGGGAGCCGCCGGAAGAGUUAUCUUUUCUCUAUGAACGGACAAGUACCCUGGAAGCCCAUAGCGGGGAGAUAGGGUAUAGUCCGUGCAGAGCAUCGCACUUGCGGCGGUGUCGGCGGUGCCCCUUUGGACCUUGAAAAUCCGGGUGAGGGCCACGGGGACCUCCGG
rnacentral:rRNA from 1 species